GACGAACGCUGGCGGCGUGCUUAACACAUGCAAGUCGAACGGAAAGGCCCUGCUUUUGUGGUGUGCUCGAGUGGCGAACGGGUGAGUAACACGUGAGUAACCUGCCCUUGACUUUGGGAUAACUUCAGGAAACUGUGUCUAAUACCGGAUAGGAGCUCCUGCUGCAUGGUGGUGGUUGGAAAGUUUCGGCGGUUGGGGAUGGACUCGCGGCUUAUCAGCUUGUUGGUGGGGUAGUGGCUUACCAAGGCUUUGACGGGUAGCCGGCCUGAGAGGGUGACCGGCCACAUUGGGACUGAGAUACGGACAAGACUCCUACGGGAGGCAGCAGUGGGGAAUAUUGCACAAUGGGCGGAAGCAUGAUGCAGCAACGCCGCGUGCGGGAUGACGGCCUUCGGGUUGUAAACCGCUUUCGCCUGUGACGAAGCGUGAGUGACGGUAAUGGGUAAAGAAGCACCGGCUAACUACGUG
rnacentral:rRNA from 1 species